GAAAUGCGAUAAGUAGUGUGAAUUGCAGAAUUCAGUGAAUCAUCGAAUCUUUGAACGCACACUGCGCCCCUCGGUAUUCCGUGGGGCAUGCCUGUUCGAGCGUCAUCUACACCCUCAAGCUCUGCUUGGUGUUGGGCGUCUGUCCCGCCUCCGCGCGCGGACUCGCCCCAAAUGCAUUGGCAGCGGUUCCUUGCCCCCCUCUUUGCGCAGCACAUUGCCAUUCGAGGCGGCGGCGGCCCGCGUCCAACAAGCUCAACCCCCCCGUCUUUGCCUCGGAUCAGGUAGGGAUACCCGCUGAACUUAAGC
rnacentral:misc_RNA from 1 species